GAUGAACGCUGGCGGCGUGCCUAAUACAUGCAAGUCGAGCGAACAGACGAGGAGCUUGCUCCUCUGACGUUAGCGGCGGACGGGUGAGUAACACGUGGAUAACCUACCUAUAAGACUGGGAUAACUUCGGGAAACCGGAGCUAAUACCGGAUAAUAUAUUGAACCGCAUGGUUCAAUAGUGAAAGACGGUUUUGCUGACACUUAUAGAUGGAUCCGCGCCGCAUUGGCUAGUUGGUAAGGUAACGGCUUACCAAGGCAACGAUGCGUAGCCGACCUGAGAGGGUGAUCGGCCACACUGGAACUGAGACACGGUCCAGACUCCUACGGGAGGCAGCAGUAGGGAAUCUUCCGCAAUGGGCGAAAGCUUGACGGAGCAACGCCGCGUGAGUGAUGAAGGUCUUCGGAUCGUAAAACUCUGUUAUUAGGGAAGAACAAAUGUGUAAGUAACUAUGCACGCCUUGACGGUACCUAAUCAGAAAGCCACGGCUAACUACGUG
rnacentral:rRNA from 1 species